GCGCAGCAGGCGCGAAACUUCGCAAUGCGCGAAAGCGCGACGAGGGAUUCCAAGUGCAUGCACUAAGUGUAUGCUUUUCGUGAGUUUAAAACGCUCACGGAAUAAGGGCUGGGUAAGACUGGUGCCAGCCGCCGCGGUAAUACCAGCGGCCCUAGUGGUGAUCGUUAUUAUUGGGCCUAAAGCGUCCGUAGCCGGUCCGGUAAAUCUCUGGGUAAAUCGUUGGGCUUAACUCAGCGAAUUCUGGGGAGACUGCUGGACUUGGGACCGGGAGAGGUCGGAGGUACUCCAGGGGUAGGGGUGAAAUCCUGUAAUCCUUGGGGGACCACCGGUGGCGAAGGCGUCCGACCAGAACGGGUCCGACGGUAAGGGACGAAGCCCU
rnacentral:rRNA from 1 species